UACAGAGGUCUCAACCGUUGUUCGGAUUCAUUGGGCGUAAAGGGUGCGUAGGUGGCUUUGUAAGUCAGUGGUGAAAUCUUAGAGCUCAACUCUAAAACUGCCAUUGAUACUGCUUAGCUUGAAUCACGUCGAGGUGGAUGGAAUAUUACAUGUAGCGGUGAAAUGCUUAGAUAUGUAAUAGAACACCGAUUGCGAAGGCAGUUCACUAGGCGUGUAUUGACACUGAGGCUCGAAAGCGUGGGGAUCAAACAGG
rnacentral:rRNA from 1 species